rnacentral:tRNA from 1 species
GGGCAAUUAGCUCAGCUGGUUAGAGCGCACGAUUCACAUUCGUGAGGUCACAGGUUCGAGCCCUGUAUUGCCCACCA